GGGGGGGGCAAGCGUUGUUCGGAAUUACUGGGCGUAAAGGGCUUGUAGGUGGCCAACUAAGUCAGACGUGAAAUCCCUCAGCUUAACUGGGGAACUGCGUCUGAUACUGGAUGGCUUGAGUUUGGGAGAGGGAUGCGGAAUUCCAGGUGUAGCGGUGAAAUGCGUAGAUAUCUGGAGGAACACCGGUGGCGAAGGCGGCAUCCUGGACCAACACUGACACUGAGGAGCGAAAGCCAGGGGAGCAAACGGGAUUAGAUACCCCGGUAGUCCUGGCCCUAAACGAUGAAUGCUUGGUGUGGCGGGUAUCGAUCCCUGCCGUGCCGAAGCUAACGCAUUAAGCAUUCCGCCUGGGGAGUACGGUCGCAAGGCUG
rnacentral:rRNA from 1 species